UACGUAGGGUGCGAGCGUUAAUCGGAAUUACUGGGCGUAAAGCGUGCGCAGGCGGUUUUGUAAGCCAGAUGUUAAAUCCCCGGGCUUAACCUGGGAAUGGCAUUUGGGACUGCAAGGCUUGAGUGCGGCAGAGGAGACUGGAAUUCCUGGUGUAGCAGUGAAAUGCGUAGAUAUCGAGAGGAACACCGGUGGCGAAGGCGGCGAUCUGGACGAUGACUGACGCUGAGACGCGAAAGCGUGGGGAGCAAACCGG
rnacentral:rRNA from 1 species